GACCCUCCGCUCGGGGGAGAUUCGGCGAAAUAUUACCCUCAGUGAUGAUAUUUAAUAUAUAUUAUCACCUCGGGUAAUAUUUCGCCGAAUCCCCCUCGCUCCAG